UUACAUAGAAGAAGCCAUAUUCUAGGCAAGCAUGACGGAGGCAUGGAAGGGCAUGCAGUUGCUGAUUAGGGCUAUCAGAGAAGAGAAGAGAGUAAUCAAUAGUGGGUAUUUCAUCAUCACAGGCUGAGUAAAGAUCAGCAUGAUGAAGAUGUUCUACCACUACAAGCUCUGAGAAAUUAGCAUUGGAGAAAAUAGGUUCAGAAGACUGAAUUUGGGAUGCAAAGGAACUUAUUUCAGCCAUUAUAAUCAAAGAUUGAGAGUGAAAGAGAAGCUAUACUUCGGUAGUAACUUAUAUCAUGUCUCAGAUGCAUAAGCACUGCAGCUAUAUAUUUCCUCUACCCCUACGGUGAUUGUCAUAUUAGCAUUUAAUAUCAACUUCUCAACUAUACCAUUAAAUGUGUUACGUGUUUUUUUAGUAUUUCUUAUGAUAAGAAAGCAAUUUGUAUGUGACUAAAACAUAAAUUGUAUGUGACUUUCCAACAUAAAUUCUCCAAAAUAAAUAUGUUCAAAUAAAUAAAAAAAUAUCACAAAUAUCCAGAUAAAAU
rnacentral:lncRNA from 1 species